AGAAAUCGAACUGACGCUACAGCAGUAACCAGAGCCACAGCAGUGACAGCACCAGAUCCUUAACCCACUAAUCCACCAGGGAACUCCACUGGGAACUCUUUUUGCCAAGUAUCUCUUGCUGCCAGCCCCACUCCUCUCCAGGAUCUGCACUGUUUUCCUUCUGGACUUCAACGGGCUCUACCAAGUCUCGCAACUGCUCUCAUAGAAUUAAUUCCUCCCGCGCCCAACGUCUUCUCCACGGAAUCAUCAGAAUUCCCUUUCUGCAACCACCUGGGAUCAUAUCAGUCUAUGUUCAAAGCAGCUGGUGGUCCCCAAAUUCAUAAGGCUGGUACCUGGGGGGCCUGUCCCCAUAGCCCUGCUUCAUUUAUGCUCGCCCCACCCAUCUGAGCUUCUUGCCCUGGAAAUUCCACACUGUUCCUUGACUCCAAGCCUUGGCAUAUGCUAAGCCUUCUGCCUGGCACAGAAUUCUCAAUAGAGAGUAAUGCAUGAAAGAGGCAAUCAGAAAUGCUCCCUGGAAAGAUGAAUGAAUGAAUUCAUUAGAUGGAUGAAUGGACUAUUUUACUUAAUAUAAUUAUUUACAAGAAAAGGCAAAAAUGACAUGAAGAUACAUGCAAAGUAAAUUUAAAGGUUAAUGUAAGAAUGGCAAAUGCAAAGCAGGAAAAAGAAACACUUUUCCCCACUGAGAACAACCAAAGCUAAGCCCUUUAGUUACUGCCAUCUGGGGCGAAGGUGGGUGCCAUUUGGCUCGGAGCUCACCGUGCCUCAUUAUGCCUGCUUUGCACUGCCUUCCACAGUCCUGGGUCCAGACGCCUUUGAGUAAUGUGCACAGAGCAUCAUAGGCUGCAAAGCUCUAUGGCACCAGGGAUGCCUGAAGGAUGCUCAGACCAUUUUACAGGUCAGGAAACUGAGGCUGGAUAUGAGUUUAGCAACUAGUUCAAGGUCACUAAGAUCAAAGCCACAGAGCCAAGGCUGGAAUUUGGGUCGGGGGUAUAAAUUCCAUACAUUAAGCUAGGUGACAGGUGCAAGGAUAUCCUUUUGUUGAUCUCAUCUUACCCAUUUCCAGGAAGGCUUGUCACUUGCCAGGGAGCCCUAACAGAGUGGUCUGAAGUUCAGGAAAAAGAAGAAAAGCAAAGGAAGAAGGGAAGAGGGCAGACAGCGGAGGAUUUGCUGCAGUUGGGUUUUCAAGAACAAAAAAUACACAUAGGGGAGGCAUGGGAUCCUUCCUUCCCAAACAUAUUUCCUUUUGGCCUGAGAUGUUACAAGACUCCAAAUUGGAGCUUGUCUUGUCUCCUCC
rnacentral:lncRNA from 1 species